GGUGUGUGUAAAUUUGUUGUUAUCUAAAUAAUGCAAUUCUUAGGGAGUAGGGAAGAAGGGAGCAUGUAGUCAAAUGGAUGUACCCACAGACGUGGCCUAAGAGCGCGUGCGUCAAAGGAGCGGAUCAUUGCGGUCUCUGAGUUGCAGUACUGACAUUCAUUGUUUGCUGAUCUUGACGUUCCAAGUGAACAAGAAAGAGAGAGAACUACAGUGCUUGGUUCCCUGUUAUUGCCUGGUAGGGGUGACCCGAGGCCUUGCUACCAGGUUACAAGUUUACCUGGUUUUGAAGAUCUCUCUUUUUCUUUAUUCCCAAUCCCCCUUUUCUAUCAUCUCUUUUUUCGUCCAAUCCCCUUUCUAUCCACUUGCACCUGCAAGUACAACGAUAAAGGGCAUUCAGUUGAACCCCUGAAAACGGAACUCUUGAAAAAUAACCCCUUGAAAUCUAAACUCUUGAAAAAUAACCCCUUGAAAUCUAAACUCUUGAAAAGGAAGGGCAUUCAGUUGACCCCUGAAAAACGGCUUCAUAGGGCAUUCAGUUGACCCCUGAAAAACGGCUUCAUAGGGCAUUCAGUUGACCCCUGAAAAACGGCUUCAUAGGGCAUUCAGUUGACCCCUGAAAAACGGCUUCAUAGGGCAUUCAGUUGACCCCUAAACAACGGUUUGAAAAGGGCAUUCAGUUGACCCCUAAACAACGGUUUGAAAAGGGCAUUCAGUUGACCCCUAAACAACGGUUUGAAAAGGGCAUUCAGUUGACCCCUGGAAACGGAAAUCUUGAAAAAAGAUCCCCUUGGCAAACUUGAUUCCCUCAUUUAACCCUGUAUAGUGUUUCCUUGUGAUUGGUUUCAGGUCAGACAAUUCUCUAAAGAAGCAAACUCUUCACCCGAAGACAGUCAUCACAUUGACCGCGGCAUCUGGAGCUGAAGACACACACAUUCACAUUAUCGACUGAAGCUGCAGUUACCUGUCAUUUCUUAUAGCAGUAUAUUGUGAUUUAAAAACAUACAGCUUCUUACAGUGUGUACAUACCACAUUUAAUACAUUUAGUAAAAAAUACAGUCUAUUAAAAUAUUUGUUGCUGAACCUUUUUACACAUUAAAUACGUAAUUAUUUCAUAAAAAGUUA